GAUGAACGCUAGCGGCAGGCUUAAUACAUGCAAGUCGUGGGGCAGCAGGACUGUAGCAAUACAGUUGCUGGCGACCGGCAAACGGGUGCGGAACACGUACGCAACUUACCCUGAACUGGGGGAUAGCCCGGGGAAACCCGGAUUAAUACCCCGUAAUAUAAUGGAGUGGCAUCACUUUAUUAUUAAAGCUCCGGCGGUUCGGGAUGGGCGUGCGGCUGAUUAGGUAGUUGGUAGAGGUAACGGCUCACCAAGCCUACGAUCAGUAACUGGUGUGAGAGCACGACCAGUCAAACGGGCACUGAGACACGGGCCCGACUCCUACGGGAGGCAGCAGUAAGGAAGAUUGGGCAAUGGAGGCAACUCUGACCCAGCCAUGCCGCGUGGAGGAUGAAGGCCCUCUGGGUUGUAAACUUCUUUUAUAGGAGACGAAACCUGUGUAUUCUUACGCAGUUGACGGUACCCUAGGAAUAAGCACCGGCUAACUCCGUG
rnacentral:rRNA from 1 species